rnacentral:hammerhead_ribozyme from 1 species
GCACCAUUGAAGAGUCCCACAAUAGGACGAAACGGAAGUGUGGUGC